rnacentral:rRNA from 1 species
ACUCCUACGGGAGGCAGCAGUGGGGAAUUGUUCGCAAUGGGCGCAAGCCUGACGACGCAACGCCGCGUGGAGGACGAAGAUCUUCGGGUCGUAAACUCCUUUCGAUCGGGAAAAACGCCUUUGAGGCUAACAUCCUCGAAGGGUGAUGGUACCGAGAGAAGAAGCCCCGGCUAACUCCGUGCCAGCAGCCGCGGUAAUACGGGGGGGGGCAAGCGUUGUUCGGAAUUACUGGGCGUAAAGGGCGUGUAGGCGGCCAACUAAGUCCGACGUGAAAUCCCCAGGCUCAACCUGGGAACUGCGUCGGAUACUGGAUGGCUUGAAUCCGGGAGAGGGAUGCAGAAUUCCAGGUGUAGCGGUGAAAUGCGUAGAUAUCUGGAGGAAUACCGGUGGCGAAGGCGGCAUCCUGGACCGGCAUUGACGCUGAAGCGCGAAAGCUAGGGGAGCAAACGGGAUUAGAUACCCCGGUAGUCCUAGCCCUAAACGAUGAAUGCUUGGUGUGGCGGGUAUCGAUCCCUGCCGUGCCGAAGCUAACGCAUUAAGCAUUCCGCCUGGGGAGUACGGUCGCAAGGCUGAAACUUAAAGGAAUUGACGGACUCCUACGGGAGGCAGCAGUGGGGAAUCUUGCACAAUGGGGGAAACCCUGA